UACAGAGGAUGCAAGCGUUAUCCGGAAUCACUGGGCUUAAAGGGCGCGUAGGCGGGCCCGUUAGUCAGGGGUGAAAUCCCACGGCCCAACCGUGGAAGUGCCUCUGAUACUGCGGGCCUCGAGGGAGGUAGGGGCGUGCGGAACUCAGGGUGGAGCGGUGAAAUGCGUAGAUAUCCUGAGGAACACCGGUGGCGAAAGCGGCGCGCUGGACCUCUUCUGACGCUGAGGCGCGAAAGCCAGGGGAGCAAACGGG
rnacentral:rRNA from 1 species